CGUUCACUUUUCUUUCAAGCCCGUUUGCCAACCAAAUUCUAGGGAGAAGCCUUGUUGACUGCCACAUAUCUCUUAAACAGAUUACCAUCCUUGAUUCUUUUUUGGAAACGCCUUAUGAACUCUAACACAAACAGCCCCCAUCCUAUGAACAUCUGUAUAUCUUUGGUUGUCUGUGAUUUGCCACUCUUACUAAACCUCACAAACAUAGGUUUAGUAAAAGGGCCUUACGUUCUGCCUUUCUUGGAUAUAGCACUGAUCACAAUGGGUUUAAGGUUUGUGAUUUAGACAUUAAACAACUACUCAUCUCUCGUGAUGUCAUUUUCGAUGAACUACAUUUUCUUUUCAACUCUACAUCAUCUACAAAUAUUCCUUUGCCUAUAAUCCCUCUUUCCUCAGAUAAUGAUGAUGUUGUUCCUGUUGAAUCCUCACAAUCUACUAUGGUCUCUACCAAUAGUCCUCUCUCUACUCCACCCACUGCUAACUCUUCUCCUUCAGCUCCUCCUUCGCCUCCUGCUCCCAUGCUUAUAAGAUACUCUACACGCCCCAUUCACAAACCAGCUUGACUAUCAAACUUCAUUUGUAACCAAUUCUCCAGUUUCUUGACUAUAUACACAAUUUGUUGCUCAAUUGUCUAUUUUACAAGAGCCUAGGUCCUAUGCUCAGGCCCAGGGUCGUGAAGAGUGGGAGAAGGCCAUGGCAAAGGAAUUGCAGGCACUUGAACAAAAUUAGACCUAGAAGCUCACUUCACUUCCUCCAGGACAAAUAUGCAAAUUACAGAAGUCGCUCUACGGCCUCAAGCAAGCUUCUAGGCAGUGGAAUCACGAAUUUACUUUGGAAAUUACUGAGUUUGGGUUCAAACAAUUGCCGCAUGAUCAUUUUUUAUUCAUUAAGUCUGUCCCGCAUGGUUUCUUGGCACUGCUGGUGUAUGUGGAUGAUAUCUUUGUCAUGGGGCCUUCAAAAGACUUGAUUACUGAGGCUUGAUACGCCUCAACUUGAAGGGGAAGUGUGAAAAUGCAGCUGCAGCAGCAGAACAGAGCAGAGCAGGGAUGCUGGAAUGAGGAAGACGCGCAUUUGUCUUUUCAUUGUGCAGAGUAGCAAUUUUAUAAGUUGUGUGUUAGUAAAGACAGCAUUCAAGUGGCAGUUUGUUGAGUUUGUUACCUACCGCAUGUCCUAUUUAAAGCACUGUACUCUGCAUUCUUUGGUUCAUAGUGAAAUACAGAGUGCAUAUUCUUAUUAUUGUCUGCUAUGGAGAUUUCCCUCUCUACCAUGGAAGUAUGUUCAAAGGUGUAACGAGGGUAAUUGUUAGACGAUCAUUAAU